rnacentral:tRNA from 1 species
GCCCUCUUGUUAACACCUGCAGCAUGUCAGUCUCGUAAUCUGAAGGUCCUGAGUUCAAGACUCAGAAAGGGUG